GCCUGGGUGGCUUAGUUAAGCAUCUGACUUCAGCUCAGGUCAUGAUCUCAUGGUUUGUAGGUUCAAGCCCUACAUCAGGCU
rnacentral:tRNA from 1 species